AGUGAAAGAGUGAAAGAGCUCAGAUUGUGUUCCUGCUGCACAAGAGCGUCUGUACUUCUGCAUUUUACUCGUGAUGAGCUUCUGGAUUUGAGUGUCUCAGCUGCUGAUCUAUUCCUGCAUUCAGCUGAAUUAUGAAGGCUGAUCAAUGACUGGAGAUCUGUGAUUGUUCAUCAGUUUCUGCUGGAGAUCAAACUCUUCAGGUCCAUCAUGGGUAACACACACACUGCUGGAGAUCAGGAUUUGUCUACAGGAUGCAGUUCAGUUCAUCAGAAGAGAGCAGAAGCAGAGCCCAGCUGUGUGUCUAUGAAGAGUGGCGCGUCUAUGGAUCCACCAGUAAAAUUUAAGAGUGGAAACACACGACCUGCUGUCAGGUAGAUCAUCUCUACACACA